CCUACGGGAGGCAGCAGUGGGGAAUAUUGCACAAUGGGGGAAACCCUGAUGCAGCGACGCCGCGUGAGUGAAGAAGUAUUUCGGUAUGUAAAGCUCUAUCAGCAGGGAAGAAAAUGACGGUACCUGAUUCAGAAGCCCCGGCUAACUACGUGCCAGCAGCCGCGGUAAUACGUAGGGGGCAAGCGUUAUCCGGAUUUACUGGGUGUAAAGGGAGCGUAGACGGCAGCACAAGUCUGGAGUGAAAUGCCGGGGCUUAACCCCGGACCUGCUUUGGAAACUGUGCAGCUAGAGUGCAGGAGAGGUAAGUGGAAUUCCUAGUGUAGCGGUGAAAUGCGUAGAUAUUAGGAGGAACACCAGUGGCGAAGGCGGCUUACUGGACUGUAACUGACGUUGAGGCUCGAAAGCGUGGGGAGCAAACAGGAUUAGAUACCCCAGUAGUC
rnacentral:rRNA from 1 species